rnacentral:rRNA from 1 species
AGAGUUUGAUCAUGGCUCAGAGUGAACGCUGGCGGCGUGCUUAACACAUGCAAGUCGAACGGUAACAGAAGAAGCUUGCUUCUUGCUGACGAGUGGCGGACGGGUGAGUAAUGUAUAGAUACGUGCCCCAUAGACUAGGAUAGCCACUGGAAACGGUGAUUAAUACUGGAUAUUCCUUACGAGGGAAAGCUUUUGCGCUAUGGGAUCGGUCUAUAUUGUAUCAGGUAGUUGGUGAGGUAAGAGCUCACCAAGCCAAUGACACAUAGCUGGUCUGAGAGGAUGAUCAGCCACACUGGAACUGAGACACGGUCCAGACUCCUACGGGAGGCAGCAGUGGGGAAUAUUGCACAAUGGGGGAAACCCUGAUGCAGCAACGCCGCGUGGAGGAUGACGCAUUUCGGUGUGUAAACUCCUUUUAUAUGGGAAGAUAAUGACGGUACCAUAUGAAUAAGCACCGGCUAACUCCGU